rnacentral:misc_RNA from 1 species
AGCACCAGGAGGCUGGGCCUGUGUAAGGAGGUGAUGAGUCACCUGUCCCACGGUCUGCUGCCCUCCCACCACACAGACAAACAAUUGGACAGACCCCCACUCAGGGGCCGGGGGGAGGGGGAGGGCAGGCUCUGGAGAGGCCUGGAUAGCUACGUGGAAUUGCUGACCAGAAUAUUUUGUAAAGAAGCCAAAAUAAACAAGGACUCCUUACAAAAGGUGGUCAGUUGUGGCUACAGACAGGGCUGUGACCUUGACCUCCUGACCUACAUUUCCUCGGCCAUUCUCAAUGUCUGCCUGUGGCCUGCACACAGAAAUAAGCAGGACCUGAACUCCCUCGACCUGUCUGGCUUCACAGACUGCCUGAUUCAAAGAAAGAAAUAUGGGAAGAUCAACAGAGCUCUGGUACAGAUGGUGUGGGAUUCGUUUGGAGAACCUAUGUUUGAACUUCUCUCCUUCUUCUCACGAAAGCUCAGAAAUGUUUCCGACUUGGCCCAUCAAGCUCGAGAGGAAGAGAAGCAGCUCUGUCCUGAUCACAGAGCUAAGUCGGCCAAUGGAUUGCGGGUGCUGGAUCGCCUAGGAUUUGCAGAUUUGUUUGCUGUAUUUGAGGAGAAGGAAGUGGAGUUGAUCAUGAUUCUCCUAGAAUUAGUGCUAGUCAUGUCCCUGUGUUCUUGUCACACUUUUUCUGACGUGUUUCCAACAACUGUAAAAUCAAAGAAAAAAUCAGUUGUUUCCUCUAAGUCAGAUGCUUCAACACAGGGCAGUUCAUCUCGUCCCUCGUCCCCUGUUAAAAGCAGACCCUCCAGUGCAAUAGGUUUGUCUACAGUGUCCGAGGAAGAGCGUCGUCAGGGACUCAAACAAAAGGAAAUAAACGCCGAGCGACGGUUGUUAAGGAAGUGCUUGUAUGAGGCGGGGGUGUUUAGAGUGGUGGUACCCUUUAUUCAGUCUUCCCACCUGCAAUGUCAGAUAUUUUCCUGUGAAAUCCUUCGAGCCAACAUCCAGUGUGUGGAGGAGAGGGAGAUAACCCUCAGUAGUGUUUACGGACCAGUGAACGCCAGCGCUAAUGCCAGACUACGCCCCCAGUCUGCGGCGGCAGCUCUCACCAGAGACCUCCGUGUACAACAGGCCCUCCACACCAUGUCUCCUCACGUCGCCCACAUCAUCAAGGACGUCCUUGGACCGAGACUUGCCCCCACCACCCCUCAUGUCAUCCCCAGGGUGGAGGAAGAAUCAGACCAAGGGGCCGUCUCCAGACUAAGUCAGUAUGUAAUUGACAACAGACCUGACUCAAGAAAAGAAGAAACAAUCCCAGAGGUCCCCAAACCUGUCCUUGACCCCAUUAGGCCAGUGGCUGGUCAGUGCCGGGACCUCCUCAUACAGGAGGGUGGAUCCAGGCUGCUGGCCCCAUUGUUUGCCUUCUCUCCAGAAGUGAAGAAGCUGUGUUCACUGUUACUAGGAGACCUGGUGCAUUUUGGGAAUGUUGAUGUACACAUGAAGCUAUCACAGCUUGGCUGUAUGCAGAAACUACUGGACUUUCUGAGGACCAACACUAGUAACGAACUCUUGGAAAUCAUUGGUUUGAUCAUUGUCCAGAUGCUGGUGAAGAGUGACAAGAGGAUAGAGCAGGUGUUUAACCAUUACGGUGGAACACGGCUACUGAUGGCCAUGGUGAAAUUCACGACCGGAGAACUCAGAAAACAAGUCACUAGUACGCUGAAAUCUGUCACCCACGGUACAAAGAAGACCAGACCAAGCUCCGCCCCAGUCUCUCGCUCCAACAAACCACAGGAUGUGUGGGACAAGGUUCAACAACAAUGGGCUCACCAAGAUAAAGUAGAGGAAGUUUUACACCAGUGGUACAGAUGAAUAAUGUGUUACAUAAGGGUUACAUACAAAAUAAAGUAUUACAUCAGUGUUUCAGAUAAACAAAAGUAUUACAUCAGUGUUACAGAUAAACAAGAGUAUUACAUCAGUGUUACAGAUAAACUAGAGUAUUACAUCAGUGUUACAGAUAAACUAGAGUAUUACAUCAGUGUUACAGAUAAACUAGAGUAUUACAUCAGUGUUACAGAUAAACUAGAGUAUUACAUCAGUGUUACAGAUAAACAAAAGUAUUACAUCAGUGGCAUAGAUGAAUAAAGUUUAUCACAUUAGUGCUACAUACAAAGAAAGUAUUACAUCAGUGUUACAUAUAUUAACCCAAAUUAUUACAAUUUUGUUAAAUAUUGAGAAAAUGUAUUACAUCAGUGUUACAGAUGAACAAAAAGUGUGUUACAGAUGAGCAAAAGUAUAACAUGAGUACAUGUAUUACACAUAGACAAAAUAUAUAACAUCAGUGUUACAGUUAAACUUAAGUGUUACUGUAAUAUCAGUGUUACAUGUAAAGAAAGAUAUUGUAUUACUGUUAUAUAUGAACACAUUUUCAUCAUUGUUACAAAAUAUUUUACAUAUGAACAAUUGUAUUACCUUAGUGUUAACAAUGAAAAAAAAUACAUUAGUGUUUUAGAUUUACAAAAUUAUUUUAUAAAACAAGUGUUAAUAAGAACAAAAGGUAUUACAGCAGUGUUACAGUUGACACCACUCUGCUAGUGAUGUUUGAAUUUAAACUAGUACUGUGCCAAAGUUAUUAAUCAUGUAUUGUUUUGUGUGGUAUGUAAGUUAUGUUAAAAAUAUACAUUUGUGUACCAUUAAUGAUUUAAUAAAGAU